rnacentral:rRNA from 1 species
AUUGAACGCUGGCGGCAGGCCUAACACAUGCAAGUCGAACGGUAACAGGAAGCAGCUUGCUGCUUUGCUGACGAGUGGCGGACGGGUGAGUAAUGUCUGGGAAACUGCCCGAUGGAGGGGGAUAACUACUGGAAACGGUAGCUAAUACCGCAUAACGUCGCAAGACCAAAGAGGGGGACCUUAGGGCCUCUUGCCAUCGGAUGUGCCCAGAUGUGAUUAGCUAGUAGGUGGGGUAACGGCUCACCUAGGCGACGAUCCCUAGCUGGUCUGAGAGGAUGACCAGCCACACUGGAACUGAGACACGGUCCAGACUCCUACGGGAGGCAGCAGUGGGGAAUAUUGCACAAUGGGCGCAAGCCUGAUGCAGCCAUGCCGCGUGUAUGAAGAAGGCCUUCGGGUUGUAAAGUACUUUCAGCGGGGAGGAAGGGAGUAAAGUUAAUACCUUUGCUCAUUGACGUUACCCGCAGAAGAAGCACCGGCUAACUCCGUG